rnacentral:rRNA from 1 species
AGGACGAACGCUGGCGGCGUGCUUAACACAUGCAAGUCGAACGGUAAGGCCCUUCGGGGUACACGAGUGGCGAACGGGUGAGUAACACGUGGGUGACCUGCCUCGAGCUCUGGGAUAAGCCUGGGAAACUGGGUCUAAUACCGGAUAUGACCUCAUGUCGCAUGGUGUGGGGUGGAAAGUUUUUCGGCUCGAGAUGGGCCCGCGGCCUAUCAGCUUGUUGGUGGGGUGAUGGCCUACCAAGGCGACGAU